UAAUAUCAGGAGUCAAAAUCGAAAAGCUCUUCAGUAUUUAUAACCUUUGUGAUCACAAAUCCUUUCCAUACAGGCUCAUUACCAAACGAAAGCGAAUGGCUUAGAGGUGAGUGGGUGAGAGAGGGGCUGAGACCGCUCGGUUAGUGUUGGCCCGGCACACCUGAAGUCCUCCGUAUGGAGCCUCAGCGCCAUGUAAACCAGCCCAGCCACACACAACAGUGAUUCCAGUACUACAGAGAGGGCAGAAGCUUAAGGUUACCCUUGACGUUUUGCUGCUCUGACAAACCACCAUGACCAAGGCACCUUAGAAAAGAAGGGGUUCAAUCAGCCUGAAUUCAGCCUCCAGGGGGUUGGGAGUCCACGACAGCAGAGCAAAGUGACAGAGGCAGGAACAGAUGAAACCAUGAGGCCUGGCCCCAGGGACUCACCUCCUCCAACAAGGCCACACCUCAUCCUUCCCAAACGGUUCCACCAACUGGAGACCAAGAAUUCACACAUGUGUGAGCCUACGGGAGACGUUCUCAUUCAGAUCCCCACAGCGAGUUUGAGGCUAGCCUGGGCCACCAGUUAAAAAAGUUGGGGGGGGGGAGGUAGGGGGCAGUAUGAUGAAUUCCAACAUGCAGAAAUUACAAUGUAACAAAGUCACAUGAUAUAGGUGGUUGUGCAGACAGGGAACCAAAGCCCAAAGUGCAGAAUUCUGGAAAGCAUAGAGGCUUCGGGCUCUGUAGGAUUCAGUAAAAAAUAAAUACGAGGUCCCGUGGCGCCAAUUAAUGAUAGCUGUUGUUAUGACCUGUUUUGACCUGUUUUAGUCGACAGUCUACAACUUCAACUGCCCCGCUGACCGGUGGAACGGUUACUUUUAGUAGGCCUCACGUGACUCUCUGCAGGAUCCUUAAGGAGAGCAAAGCCACACAGAACACGCAACCCUGUCCUCAGUCCUCGGCCUUUCUUUCCAUUUCUCUUAGAGUGGAAUUUCUCCUGCAGAUCCCCAAGCAGACAUGGAGAGAGUAUGUCCACACUGCUCAGCGAAUAACAAUGAAUGUCCUUCAUGGGCAGCUCUGUAGCGUUUUGCUGUCGUUUAAAAGAACAUCCGAAGGUUGCAGAAGGGAGCUUUGACAUCGGUCCUCAUCCGAAUCCUCAUCUGACUUCUAAAUCUUCUUAUGCACAAGGGUUUGAACCUAGACUGUACCACCAAGCUCCAUUCCCAGCCUGGGGGGUUCCUUUUCAAAGGAGUCCUGCAUUUAUAACCAGCGAAGAAUAAAGAGCUGAACUUUUCCAUAAUCCCAGCUGCUGUCAAUUCAUACUAAGCUCCUAAACUGAGAGAAACCUGACCACAGAGAAGAGAGAGGUUUCUGAGGCUGCCAUUGCACUAGCAAGAACAGCUCAUGCGGCCCCCCCACCCUCCCUGGCAAAGGAGGGCUGAGAGGGAAAGCAGGGCUCACUUGACUCGUUGGUGAAGAAGAGAGAGAACAUUCCGAAGACUCCCCAGUGUCCUGUUUUCUGGGUUUAGUCUAUGACGUCCAAACUGGGAUGGAAGGAGGGGAAAAAAAAGAUAAUUACUAUUUGUCACUGUUUUAUCUUAAUUUUGUUUCUUAACAAGAUUUAUUUUUAUAUUAAUCAUUAUGUGUGUGUCUGAGUGUGUUUGAGCACCAGUAACUUGGUCCCCAGGAGCUGGAGUCACAGGAGGCUGCGAGCCUCUCUCCACGGGAGUGCUGGAGACAUGAAUUUGGGUCCUCUGCGUUAAGCUACCCACCCUCUGCGAUAAACUGUCUUUCUCUCCAGCCCCUCUUCAUCUUAAUUUCUACUUAGGAAAUUACAUUGGAGUAACACCUCCUAACACAGCGUUUAUUGAUAAAAAAUAUCCAAUUAGCAAUAUAGAGUUUAUUAAUCUUUUUCAACUAAUAAAAAUAAAAACAUUUUUCGAUAAAGAAAGCAUACUUUUUUUCAU